CCUACGGGAGGCAGCAGUGAGGAAUAUUGGUCAAUGGAGGCAACUCUGAACCAGCCAAGUAGCGUGCAGGAUGACGGCCCUAUGGGUUGUAAACUGCUUUUAUGCGGGGAUAAACUGCCUUACGUGUGGCUCUUUGCAUGUACCGCAUGAAUAAGGACCGGCUAAUUCCGUGCCAGCAGCCGCGGUAAUACGGAAGGUCCGGGCGUUAUCCGGAUUUAUUGGGUUUAAAGGGAGCGGAGGGCGCACCUUAAGCGUGGUGGGAAAUGGCGCGGCUCAACCGCGGCACUGCAGCGCGAACUGGGGGUGCUUGAGUCCGCGGAAGGUAGGCGGAAUUCGUGGUGUAGCGGUGAAAUGCUUAGAUAUGACGAAGAACCCCGAUUGCGAAGGCAGCUUGCCGUAGCGGAACUGACGCUGAGGCUCGAAAGUGCGGGUAUCGAACAGGAUUAGAUACCCUAGUAGUC
rnacentral:rRNA from 1 species